rnacentral:lncRNA from 1 species
UGUUCUUUCACAAUCAAAUCAAGCAGAGCCCCUCUACAAUUUUCUCUUUCCUUCACAUUUUCCUCGUUGAGGCAGCUUGACUCUUCAAGUGAGUCAAAAGAGUUAAUCUUUUGACUCACAUUUUCCUCGUUGAGGCAGCUUGACUCUUCAAGUGAGUCAAAAGAGUUAAUCUUAUCAAUCAGCACCUGUUUUUGGGAGAAAAUGUUACCAAAAGUCUCCUUAUUCCAACUUUUUAGGAUGGCUUUCAGACCUUUUAGCUUUUCCAUGAAAGAGAAUAUAGGCCAGCCAUCAACCUCCAAACUGCCCCACCAGUUCUCAACAUUUUUAAAGAAAAGAUGAUGAUCCAGCCAAGCAUUUUCAAAUCUAAAAGGUGUGGGACCCCAGGAAUGAGCCCCCAUUUUUAAAAUUAUCGGAA